rnacentral:rRNA from 1 species
AAAAGCUCAAAUUUGAAAUCUGGCACCUUCGGUGUCCGAGUUGUAAUUUGAAGAAGGUAACUUUGGAGUUGGCUCUUGUCUAUGUUCCUUGGAACAGGACGUCACAGAGGGUGAGAAUCCCGUGCGAUGAGAUGCCCAAUUCUAUGUAAAGUGCUUUCGAAGAGUCGAGUUGUUUGGGAAUGCAGCUCUAAGUGGGUGGUAAAUUCCAUCUAAAGCUAAAUAUUGGCGAGAGACCGAUAGCGAACAAGUACAGUGAUGGAAAGAUGAAAAGAACUUUGAAAAGAGAGUGAAAAAGUACGUGAAAUUGUUGAAAGGGAAGGGCUUGAGAUCAGACUUGGUAUUUUGCGAUCCUUUCCUUCUUGGUUGGGUUCCUCGCAGCUUACUGGGCCAGCAUCGGUUUGGAUGGUAGGAUAAUGACUAAGGAAUGUGGCUCUACUUCGGUGGAGUGUUAUAGCCUUGGUUGAUACUGCCUGUCUAGACCGAGGACUGCGUCUUUGACUAGGAUGCUGGCAUAAUGAUCUUAAGCCACCCGC